rnacentral:rRNA from 1 species
CUGAGGAGCGAAAGCGUGGGGAGCGAACAGGAUUAGAUACCCUGGUAGUCCACGCCGUAAACGGUGGGCGCUAGUUGUGCGAACCUUCCACGGUUUGUGCGACGCAGCUAACGCAUUAAGCGCCCCGCCUGGGGAGUACGAUCGCAAGAUUAAAACUCAAAGGAAUUGACGGGGCCCCGCACAAGCAGCGGAGCAUGCGGCUUAAUUCGACGCAACGCGAAGAACCUUACCAAGGCUUGACAUAUACAGGAAUAUGGCAGAGAUGUCAUAGCCGCAAGGUCUGUAUACAGGUGGUGCAUGGUUGUCGUCAGCUCGUGUCGUGAGAUGUUGGGUUAAGUCCCGCAACGAGCGCAACCCUCGUUCUGUGUUGCCAGCAUUAAGUUGGGGACUCACAGGAGACUGCCGGGGUUAACUCGGAGGAAGGUGGGGAUGACGUCAAAUCAUCAUGCCCCUUAUGUCUUGGGCUGCACGCAUGCUACAAUGGCUGGUACAAACGGCUGCGAUACCGCAAGGUGGAGCGAAUCCGAUAAAGCCAGUCUCAGUUCGGAUUGGGGUCUGCAACUCGACCCCAUGAAGUCGGAGUUGCUAGUAAUCGUAGAUCAGCAACGCUACGGUGAAUACGUUCCCGGGGCUUGUACACACCGCCCGUCACAUCACGAAAGUCGGUAACACCCAAAG